rnacentral:misc_RNA from 1 species
AAAGUCGUAACAAGGUUUCCGUAGGUGAACCUGCGGAAGGAUCAUUACAAAUCCAUCCAUUCUCCGACACCCGUUGCACCCGGCCGCCCGCAGCGCCGCUGCAUCGUUCGCGAUGCGGCCGCCGCGGCGCGCCUAUUUGACGCCCCGGACCGAUGAUCCCACGAACGUAUACACACAACCUAGAAACAACUUAUAACAAUGGAUCUCUAGGCUCUU